rnacentral:lncRNA from 1 species
UUCUUCUAAUUCUCCCCCCACACAUUAAACACAACAUUGUCCUUAAUAUAGAAAUAAAAAAAGAACAGAAAAUAAUAACAAAUAUAAAGUAAAAUAUGAAAAAUAAAAGAUAAGGGAAAAAGAAAGAAAUAUUAAUUUUUGUUGUUGGGUUGCCUCCUAGUAAGCGUCUUUGUUUUAUGUCAUUAGCUUGACACACCACAUGCUCAUACCUUGUAGAUUGGUUCAGCUACCUCA